rnacentral:rRNA from 1 species
GAUGGACGCUGGCGGCGUGCUUAACACAUGCAAGUCGAACGGAAAGGCCCAAGCUUGCUUGGGUACUCGAGUGGCGAACGGGUGAGUAACACGUGGGUGAUCUGCCCUUCACUUCGGGAUAAGCCUGGGAAACUGGGUCUAAUACCGGAUAGGACCACAUUUUGGAUGGUGUGGUGGAAAGUUUUUCGGUGUGGGAUGAGCUCGCGGCCUAUCAGCUUGUUGGUGGGGUAAUGGCCUACCAAGGCGUCGACGGGUAGCCGGCCUGAGAGGGUGUACGGCCACAUUGGGACUGAGAUACGGCGCAGACUCCUACGGGAGGCAGCAGUGGGGAAUAUUGCACAAUGGGCGCAAGCCUGAUGCAGCGACGCCGGGUGGGGGAUGACGGCCUUCGGGUUGUAAACUCCUGUCGCUAGGGACGAAGCGGAAGUGACGGUACCUGGAGAAGAAGCACCGGCUAACUACGUG